UCGCUAGUAAUCGCGCAUCAGCCACGGCGCGGUGAAUACCGGUUCCCGGGCCUUGUACACACCGCCCGUCAAGCCAUGGAAGCCGGGAGUGCCUGAAGUGCGUGAGCGCAAGCAGCGCCCUAAGGUAAAACCGGUGACUGGGGCUAAGUCGUAACAAGGUAGC
rnacentral:rRNA from 1 species